rnacentral:rRNA from 1 species
UACGUAGGGGGCAAGCGUUGUCCGGAAUCAUUGGGCGUAAAGCGCGCGUAGGUGGCUUCGUAAGUCCGUUGUGAAAGUCAAGGGCUCAACCCUUGAAAGCCGGUUGAUACUGUCGGGCUAGAGUCCGGAAGAGGCGAGUGGAAUUCCCGGUGUAGCGGUGAAAUGCGCAGAUAUCGGGAGGAACACCAAUUGCGAAGGCAGCUUACUACAUAGUUAUUGACACUGAGGCACGAAAGCGUGGGGAGCGAACAGG